GACGAACGCUGGCGGCGUGCUUAACACAUGCAAGUCGAACGAUGAAGCUGGAGCUUGCUCCGGUGGAUUAGUGGCGAACGGGUGAGUAACACGUGAGCAAUCUGAGCUUGUCUAUGGGAUCAGUGCGGGAAACUGUAGCUAAUACCGGAUAUGAGAUCUGAAGGCAUCUUCGGGCUUGGAAAGAAUUUGGGUCAAGGAUGAGCUCGCGGCCUAUCAGCUAGUUGGUGAGGUAAUGGCUCACCAAGGCGACGACGGGUAGCCGGCCUGGGAGGGUGGACGGCCACACUGGAACUGAGACACUGUCCAGACUCCUACGGGAGGCAGCAGUGGGGAAUAUUGCACAAUGGGCGAAAGCCUGAUGCAGCAACGCCGCGUGAGGGAUGAAGGCCUUCGGGUUGUAAACCUCUUUUAGCAGGGAAGAAGCGAAAGUGACGGUACCUGCAGAAAAAGCACCGGCUAACUACGUGCCAGCCGCCGCAGUAA
rnacentral:rRNA from 1 species